GAUGAACGCUGGCGGCGUGCCUAAUACAUGCAAGUCGAGCGAACAGAUGAGGAGCUUGCUCCUCUGACGUUAGCGGCGGACGGGUGAGUAACACGUGGAUAACCUACCUAUAAGACUGGGAUAACUUCGGGAAACCGGAGCUAAUACCGGAUAAUAUAUUGAACCGCAUGGUUCAAUAGUGAAAGACGGUUUUGCUGUCACUUAUAGAUGGAUCCGCGCCGCAUUAGCUAGUUGGUAAGGUAACGGCUUACCAAGGCAACGAUGCGUAGCCGACCUGAGAGGGUGAUCGGCCACACUGGAACUGAGACACGGUCCAGACUCCUACGGGAGGCAGCAGUAGGGAAUCUUCCGCAAUGGGCGAAAGCCUGACGGAGCAACGCCGCGUGAGUGAUGAAGGUCUUCGGAUCGUAAAACUCUGUUAUUAGGGAAGAACAAAUGUGUAAGUAACUAUGCACGUCUCGACGGUACCGAAUCAGAAAGCCACGGCGAACUACGU
rnacentral:rRNA from 1 species